rnacentral:rRNA from 1 species
UACGGAGGGUGCAAGCGUUAUCCGGAUUCACUGGGUUUAAAGGGUGUGUAGGCGGGCAUGUAAGUCAGUGGUGAAAUCUCCAGGCUCAACCUGGAAACUGCCAUUGAUACUAUAUGUCUUGAAUUUUGUUGAGGUUGGCGGAAUAUGUCAUGUAGCGGUGAAAUGCAUAGAUAUGACAUAGAACACCGAUUGCGAAGGCAGCUCACUACACAAUCAUUGACGCUGAGGCACGAAAGCGUGGGGAUCAAACAGG